GCCCCAGGAUCGCGGCCGCCACGGAGCUGCUGUUGGAAGCAAAGUGGCGGCCGAUGGACUCGGGGUCGGACUCCAGCAGCCUGAGGUCUGCAAAGUCCCAGAGCAGAAACCUCAGGGCGCGGGCCAUUUCCCUUUAGUCUCUGGUGACCUUAUCAUGAUGAAGAUGAACACGCUGUCGUCCUCGCACCCAUCGCACAGGCCCCGCAGGACGCGGGGAGGCAGGGACCCGUAGACCGGUUCCUGUAGAGGCCCGGGCCUGCCCCCACUGGCGCCGCACCUGGAGGGAAUUCUUGGCAAAUACGUCCCCGGGCACUGGAGGAGCGGAGAGACAGACGUGAGGGAACUCCCGGCCCCUGCUGGCUGCUCCACUUCACUCGCUGGGUGACUGGGACAGGAUGCUCCAAUGUCCCCUUGUGACCCAGAGCAAGUGGGAGCUGAGCAUGACGCCGACUCUAGUUUCCUUCUUAUGGAACACACAUGCCAACGUGGCGAGGGAAUCAAUGCCAGUUUCUUGAGCCGAACAUCUGGACCGUACCUACCGGAAGCCUGGGUGAGCGGUGGCUCCCGGGCGGUAUUGACGGGUCUCCCACUAGGCCGGACCUCUGCUGGGGAAAGAGAAUUGAAGAAAACACGUUCAGCCUCGGGCUACGCUCUAUUGGGAAAGUCACGGCCACUUCUCCGACAUCAGGUUAAUGGAUUCCUGGAGACCUUGCUUUGGACAACUCUUGGAUUGGGAGUCGAUACUUUGACGGUCUGGUGAUACCAUGGGCCCCUCUGGGAAUAAUAAAACAUAAAGAGUUAAAAGCA
rnacentral:lncRNA from 1 species